AGAGUUUGAUCCUGGCUCAGGAUGAACGCUGGCGGUCUGCUUAACACAUGCAAGUCGAACGCAACCUUCGGGUUGAGUGGCGGACGGGUGAGUAACGCGUGAGAAUCUGCCUUAGGGUCGGGGACAACCACUGGAAACGGUGGCUAAUACCGGAUAAGCCGAUUGGUGAAAGAUUUAUUGCCCGAAGAGGAGCUCGCGUCUGAUUAGCUAGUUGGUGAGGUAAGAGCUCACCAAGGCAGCGAUCAGUAGCUGGUCUGAGAGGACGACCAGCCACACUGGGACUGAGACACGGCCCAGACUCCUACGGGAGGCAGCAGUGGGGAAUUUUCCGCAAUGGGCGAAAGCCUGACGGAGCAAGACCGCGUGAGGGAGGAAGGCUCUUGGGUUGUAAACCUCUUUUCUCAGGGAAGAAGCUCUGACGGUACCUGAGGAAUCAGCCUCGGCUAACUCCGUGCCAGCAGCCGCGGUAAUACGGAGGAGGCAAGCGUUAUCCGGAAUUAUUGGGCGUAAAGCGUCCGCAGGUGGCGAUUCAAGUCUGCUGUCAAAGCACGGGGCUUAACUCCGUUAAGGCAGUGGAAACUGAAUAGCUAGAGUGCCGUAGGGGUAGAGGGAAUUCCCGGUGUAGCGGUGAAAUGCGUAGAGAUCGGGAAGAACAUCGGUGGCGAAAGCGCUCUACUGGAC
rnacentral:rRNA from 1 species